rnacentral:rRNA from 1 species
AUGGAUUGGCUUUCUAAGCACAAGGCUCAACUUGAUUGUGCAGCCAGGCAGAUUCAAUUGACUCAUUCGUCUGAGGAUGUAAUUGUCUUUUCCGCUCGUGAUGAUACUAUCCGUCUAUUUUCUCUCAAUGAGAAGGGUGAAUUGGAUGCCAUCUCUCAAAUUCCAGUCAUUUGCGAAUAUCAAGACGUCUUUCCAGAACAGCUCCCUCGAAUGCCUCUGCACCGGCCAGUUGAAUUCGUUAUUGAACUUGAGCCUGGCACGGAACCUGUGUGCAAACGUCCUUACAAGCUCGGACUUGAAGAGUUGGAGGAGCUGAAGAAGCAACUCGAUGAGCAAGAAAGAAUGGGUCUCAUCCGGCCUAGUUCUUCUCCGUGGGGUUGUGGUGUUCUUUUUGUGAAGAAGAAGGAUGGAACGGACUGA